GACGAACGCUGGCGGCGUGCCUAACACAUGCAAGUCGAGCGGAGAUUUCUUUGGCACUGAGUGCUCUAAUAUUGACGUGCACCAAGCGUCAUGCAGAAACAACCUUAACAGAUGAAAAAAGGUUUCUGCAUCACGCGUUAAUUAAGUACCGACACAUAAUAGCAAUUCAGGUUAGAGUAUUGAGUGCCGAAGAAAUCUUAGCGGCGGACGGGUGAGUAACACGUGGGAACGUGCCUUUUGGUUCGGAACAACUCAGGGAAACUUGAGCUAAUACCGAAUGUGCCCUUCGGGGGAAAGAUUUAUCGCCAUUAGAGCGGCCCGCGUCUGAUUAGCUUGUUGGUGAGGUAAAGGCUCACCAAGACUACGAUCAGUAGCUGGUCUGAGAGGAUGAUCAGCCACAUUGGGACUGAGACACGGCCCAAACUCCUACGGGAGGCAGCAGUGGGGAAUCUUGCGCAAUGGGCGAAAGCCUGACGCAGCC
rnacentral:rRNA from 1 species